rnacentral:rRNA from 1 species
UACGUAGGUGGCAAGCGUUGUCCGGAAUUAUUGGGCGUAAAGCGCGCGCAGGCGGUCGCGUAAGUCUGAUGUGAAAGCCCGGGGCUCAACCCCGGUGUGCAUUGGAAACUGCGUGACUUGAGUGCAGGAGAGGAAAGCGGAAUUCCACGUGGAGCGGUGAAAUGCGUAGAGAUGUGGAGGAACACCAGUGGCGAAGGCGGCUUUCUGGCCUGUAACUGACGCUGAGGCGCGAAAGCGUGGGGAGCAAACAGG